GGUCCUGUGGUGAAGUUUACAACGACGGCUUUUCAGGCCGUAGACCUUGGAAAAAAGCCAAGCGGGAACU
rnacentral:tRNA from 1 species